GAGUUAUAUAUGCGAAAUAUCUGUCGUUCGGAAUGUAAAAAGCUCACGAUACGUAACACAUCACCCGCCACCGUCGCCUCGCCGUCGCCUCGUCCACACCGAAUCGAAGGCCAACACGGCAACUCUCGCACAGAGAAGAGGCAAGGAGAGAGAGAGAGAGAGAGAGCAGCCAGUCGUCGAAGGCUCGUAGCCCUAGAAGCUCCAAUGGCGGACUCCGAAGACGCGCCGCCAGCCGUGCACCGCCGCCCACCGCGCCCCGCUCGCGGUGCUGCUGCAGCCCAGGGCUUCGCGGCCGCGUUGCGCCGCCGGCUGAGAUCCGGCGCUGCGGUGGCGGCACGCGCCAGCUUUGCCGCAGACUCCGGGGACGAGUCUGGCCCCGGCGAGCCCUCUUCGUCUCGCCGCCGCGACAACAGCGGGGGCGCCUCGUCCGCCGCCGGCGGCCGGGCCGGGGCAGGGGACUUCUCCGCGUUCACCUUCCGCGCCGCGGCGCCUGUCCACCGGAAAGCCAAGGAGAGCCCUCUGAGCUCCGACGCCAUCUUCAAGCAGAGUCAUGCAGGCCUUUUCAACCUAUGUAUUGUUGUUCUGGUUGCGGUGAAUAGCAGGCUCAUUAUUGAGAACCUGAUGAAGUAUGGCUUAUUAAUAAGAUCUGGCUUUUGGUUUAAUGCUACAUCAUUGCGAGACUGGCCACUGCUAAUGUGUUGCCUUAGUCUACCCAUAUUUCCCCUUGGUGCAUUUGCAGUCGAAAAGUUGGCAUUCAACAAUCUCAUUAGUGAUCCUGCUACUACCUGUUUUCACAUCCUUUUUACAACAUUUGAAAUUGUAUAUCCAGUGCUCGUGAUUCUUAAGUGUGAUUCUGCAGUUUUAUCAGGCUUUGUGUUGAUGUUUAUUGCCUGCAUUGUUUGGCUGAAGCUUGUAUCUUUUGCACAUACAAACCAUGAUAUAAGAAAACUGAUCACAAGCGGCAAGAAGGUUGAUAAUGAACUGACCGCGGCUGGCAUAGAUAAUUUACAAGCUCCAACUCUUGGGAGUCUAACAUACUUCAUGAUGGCUCCGACACUCUGUUAUCAGCCAAGUUAUCCUCGAACACCUUAUGUUAGAAAAGGUUGGCUGGUCCGUCAAGUUAUUCUAUACUUGAUAUUUACUGGUCUCCAAGGAUUCAUUAUUGAGCAAUACAUAAAUCCUAUUGUUGUGAACUCUCAACAUCCAUUGAUGGGAGGAUUACUGAAUGCUGUAGAGACUGUUUUGAAGCUCUCAUUACCAAAUGUCUACCUGUGGCUUUGCAUGUUUUAUUGCCUUUUCCAUCUGUGGUUAAACAUACUUGCUGAGAUUCUUCGAUUUGGUGACCGAGAAUUCUACAAAGACUGGUGGAAUGCAAAGACAAUUGAUGAGUACUGGAGAAAAUGGAACAUGCCUGUGCAUAAAUGGAUUGUUCGUCAUAUAUAUUUCCCUUGCAUGCGAAAUGGUAUAUCAAAGUUUGUUACAGGAAGUUGCUGUUUUUAUAUCGUUCUUUGUUUCUGCUGUACUUCAUGAGUUAUGUGUUGCUGUUCCCUGCCACAUACUCAAGUUCUGGGCUUUCUUAGGAAUCAUGCUUCAGAUUCCCCUCAUCAUAUUGACAUCAUACCUCAAAAAUAAAUUCAGUGACACAAUGGUUGGCAAUAUGAUCUUUUGGUUUUUUUUCUGCAUAUACGGGCAGCCAAUGUGUGUUCUAUUGUAUUACCAUGAUGUGAUGAACCGGACUGAGAAGGCAAAAUAACCAUCUGUAGAUCUUUUUUGGUGUUUCAUUUCUUCCAUCAUGGAAACUGAAAGCAAUAAUCUGUGCACACAGUAAACCAGCAUCGUGUCUUCCAGUUUUUUUUGUUGUUGUUGGAAUCUAUCCUAGAUCUUUAUCAUGUGUAUGGUGGAUAACCUCAUGUCACCAUCGUAUCUGUAUACAAUAAGCCUAAAUCAGCUGACGUUCUAUAUGUAAAUUAGUAAAUGUAAUGACUAAUUAGUGCCCCCCUUUCUGCACUACCAGAUCUACUUUUCUCGUAAUAUUUAAUAUUAAAACAAUCACACCACACAUUCUACUGCCUGGUGAUGAUGUUAUAUAACA